GUUAAACCUAAUAUAUGCGGCACAUGGCAUUCAAUAUGGUAGCAAUACGCAGUCUCAUAGUCUCAUGAUGCAUGCAACAGCAGCAAGCUGACCAGGGAGCCACACAUUCACAAAGGAACCCAGCAUCGUAUUGGAGUCAGAGUAGCCUGUCCGUAAAUGUCUGCUGCAUGGACUGGAACUAAACUGAGUUGAUGAAGCUAAAUAUUGGAGCAUAGCACCCUUGCAUCCUCACAGCUACCCACAAGUUUACCUUUCUUCAAAGG